CCGUAGACAGGGGCUGUCGUGCGCCCUCUCGCGGCUGUGGGCCGACGGCGCCCCGGAGUGCACGCUCAUGGCGGCGCAUGGCACUGUGAAUCACCAAAGAGAUUCCUAAACCUUAUGUCUGUGACACCUAUAUGAAGAGGUAAUGAUUGGACUCACUGUGUACAGCAGGGCAGUCAAGAAGCACCAAGGACCCUGAGAGCAGUCUUCAACCAAUGACACUUGAAAACUGAAGGAUAAAUACAUAUGCCAAGUGUGGUAGGCUGAAGAAUAUCCUCUGAAGAUAUCAGGCCCUGAAACUGGUGAAUUUUGUGUUUUAGAGCCAAAGGGAAACUAGGCAGAGGGGGAUUUCACGCAGAUGGAAGAGGAGGAGACCUUGUGGCCACAGAAGCGGACAGUGCAGUGAUGUAACCACAAGUCAAGGAGAGCCAGCAGCCACCAGAAGCAGGAAGAGGCAAGGAGCAGACUGUCCCGUGGAGCCUCUGGAGGCAGGAUGGCCCUGCUGACUGCAUGAUUCCAAGGAUACUGAUUUCGAACUUUUGGCCUCUAGACCUGUGAGAGAAUAAGUUUUCAUUGUUUUCAGCUACCAAAUUUGUGGCGAUUGUCACAGUGACCACAGAACACUAAUAUACCAAUAUUUAUACCCAUAAGUACACCAAUGUCCUCACUUCUCAAAAGCAGAACAACUCUGAGGCAUCUUCUGUUGUCUCCAGGAGUCUGCAGCAGAGUUGAGCCCUACCUUUAGGGUUACCCACCCAUCAGCCUACUCUGUUAUUGACUUUCUCUUCUCAGUCUCGCUUGCUUAUUCUUCCAUCAGUGGUUCCAGGUCUCUCCUUCAAUACAAACCACAUACUCUCAAAUCCUUCUGUAUGAGUUUCUUGGAGUUGCUAUAACAAAGUACCAUAAACUGUGUGGCUUAUAACAAAAAAAAUUUAUUCUCACAGUUCUGGAGGCCAGAAGUUGGAAAUACAAUAAAGGUGUUGAUUCAGUUGGUUCCUCUUCAGGCCUCUGAGAAGUCUGUUUCAUGCUUCUUUCCUAGCUUUUGGUGAUGGCUGGCAAUUCAUGGCAUUCUCUGGUUUGUAAAUGCGUCUCUCCUAUCUCUGCCUCCAUCUUUACAUAGCAUUCUCCCCUGUCUCUGUGUCUUCAUGUGGCCAUCUUCCCCUCAUGUAAGAACACUAGUUAUAUUGGAUCAAGGACCCAGUUUCAUGACAUUAUCACAACUUGGUAACAUCUGUAAAGAUCCUAUGCCCAAAUAAAGUCACAUUUCUACAUACUGGGGAUAAGAAUUAUAACAUCUUUUGUAAGGCACAUACUUCAACUCAUAACACCUUGACUCAGUGUCAAAUAUGGGGACCCCUAACCUAAGACAAUUAUCACUUAAUAAGCAUUUUUAUUUCCAAAGCAUAAGCAUUUUUAUUUCCCUAAAUAUAAUUAUUUUUCUUCAGUAAUCUUAUGAUAUUGUGUCUAUUUCAAAGUUAAUAAAUCUGAGGAUUAGAUAUUAUGGUGUAGUCAAGUCUGUGUUUUACCAGGCAGGAAAUGUAAUAAGAUGCCAGUUCUACCAGUGGGAGUGGUUUUCAGCAAAAGAGAUCAAAUACCUUAAGCUUUUUCUUUUUUCCCCCCCUCAUCUGCAAUAUUAUAGAUCAGGAAACAAAGAGGGAUUUUCCUAGGGUUGUGAUAAUCUUUUCUAUUUGAGAUUUUGUUGAUAAAUUUAAUGUCUAAGACCUGAUGUUUCCUCUUUCUUUACUUGAAUUGUCUGUUCAGAGCCACUCUUGUUUAUUCAUUGCUUUCCAGAAUCUUUGGGGAAGGGGGAGUAGACUCCACACACAAAGUCAUGUCCAGUUUCUGAUAAUCCCUUUGGCAGCAAUAGUUGCUCACUCUCUGUACCAGCCUCUGCUAGGAGCUCUCUGUGAAAGAGUGUUCUACAAAACAAGGACACAUUGUCUCUGCCUCUAUUCUAAAGCUGCUGGUAAGUACCCUGCACAGGGAAGAGACCAUAAGAUGAAACUAACAUCUUAGAUACCUUGUAUAUCACAAUGUGCCCCGGCUUAUUCUAAUAUUCUCUACUUCAUCUUUCACCAAAGGCCAAGUCCUUUCUCUGAUUACAAGUUUGGAAAUACUUCCACUUACGGGCUUAUCCACAUAUAGUCCCAAAACCUGCUUAGGUGGCAUUUAUGCUUCUGAUUGCUUCCCUUCCUUUUAUAAGCUGAUACUGCUGAUUAUUAUUUUUUUAAUUAUUUAUUUGGCUGUACCCAGAGUUGUGGGCUUCCCAGGUGGCACUACUGGUAAAGAAUCUGCCUGCCAGUGCCUGAGACUCAAGAGACCUGCAUUCUAUUCCUGGGUCAGGAAGAUCCCCUGGAGAAGGAAAUGGCAACCCACUCUAGUAUUCUUGCCUAGAAAAUUCCAUGGACAGAAGAUCCUGGUGGGCUACAGUCCAUGGUGUCGUGAAGAGUCGGACACGACUGAGCACACACACACAUUCUACAUACCCCGUCUUAGUUGCAGCAGGUGGCAGCUUCUAUCUUCGUUUGCAGCUUGUGGGAUCUUUAGUUGAUUAGUUGCGGCAUUCGAACUCUUAGUUGUGACAUAUUGGGAUCUAGUUCCCUGACCAGGGAUCAAACUCAGGCCCCCUACAUUGAAAGCAUGGAGUCUUAGCCGCUGAAGCACCAGGGAAGUCUGUGUUGCUAAUAAUUAAAAUCCUCUCAGGUGAAUAAAU
ensembl:lncRNA